GCAAUAUGAGGGCUACUGGCACCCGACACAUGGCAAAUGCAAACAAAUCUAGGAUUUUCAAGUUUCCACCCACCAUAUAUUAUGGGAUAAAGUACUCCAAGGAGAGAUGUCGGAUCGAUAAUCGAUAGCUAACUACUCCCUUUGCCUGAAGUAGCAAAGCCGCUUCGGGCUCGGGAGAAGGGCAACUGUUAUGAGGAUUGCCCAUCAUCAGACCCAAAUUCUUCCCCUU
rnacentral:lncRNA from 1 species